CGCAAUCAAGAUGAGGGGACUGGUUGGUGGUCAUGAUGGCAGCUGGCAAAGACUGUGAUAGCAGGAAGGAGAGACAUGCACCGACCGAAUCGUGAGCAUGGUAGACCGCAGCUCAUUAACUAGCUCGGAGUUUGCAUCUCCUGUUUAACUGACAAUAACUGGAGAGCCUCUCGCCUGUAACUUGCGGGCUGACUGCACCCUGCAUUGCGCACGGUGCAAACGGCAAGGACCACAAAGAGAGGACGCUUGAUGACAUGAAAGGAUCUCCGUGGCUGGCCUUACUCCCUGUGGAUGCCACAGCUGCAGGAUACCGGUGCCCCAACAGAAGCCAGUGAAGGAAGAAUUCCUGCUCCAGCAGGUGCCUGGUCUCCACCUUCAGGGGCUGCUCAAGGAGAGCGAACAAAACUGCCCUUUGCCCAGAAAUCCUGCAAACUGAAGCUGGACGACUUGAAAUAAACAUCAGUGAGAUGAGCACGAAGCCCAGGUGUGAAGGGCCCUCAUGCCUGUUGCUGUGUUGGCCUCCCAGACAUCACCAGAGACCAAACCGCAGAGGACGCUCGGAGCCCAGGAUCUACAAACCGGCCCUGCCACAGCCUCCACACCCAGAAACGAGUUUUUAGUCAGCUCCAAUGAUUAGCAUUUUUUUCUUUUGUGUUUAAGAAAUGCC